CCCGCACAAGCGGUGGAGCAUGUGGUUUAAUUCGACGCUACGCGAAGAACCUUACCUGGGCUUGAACUGCUGGUGGUAGAAGCCCGAAAGGGUAACGACCCGGAGCAAUCCGGGAGCCAGUAGAGGUGCUGCAUGGCUGUCGUCAGCUCGUGUCGUGAGAUGUUGGGUUAAGUCCCGCAACGAGCGCAACCCUUACCCUUAGUUGCCAGCGGGUAAUGCCGGGCACUCUAAGGGGACCGCCCCGGAUAACGGGGAGGAAGGCGGGGAUGACGUCAAGUCAGCAUGGCCCUUAUGUCCAGGGCUACACACGUGCUACAAUGGGCGAUACAGAGGGAAGCAAGGCCGCAAGGUAGAGCUAAUCCCUAAAGUCGUCCUCAGUUCGGAUUGCAGGCUGCAACUCGCCUGCAUGAAGUCGGAAUCGCUAGUAAUCGCGGAUCAGCUACGCCGCGGUGAAUACGUUCUCGGGCCUU
rnacentral:rRNA from 1 species